rnacentral:misc_RNA from 1 species
GGAUGGAUCAUUAGAGGUUGUUUUAAAAAAACAAGCACAGUGCCUUUUAAAAUUGUGAUCAAGCGGGUAGGGUUAGCGUAGCUAACUAGCCUUGCCUGUUUGUGUCACGACUCUUCGACUAUCGAGGAGUAUAAAAGACCCCUUUUUUAGUAGCGAUAAUCACACAGUUCAAUAUAACAGAAAAAAUACAACUCACUGCGGUGGAUGACUCGGCUAGUGUACCGAUGAAGAACGUAGCAAACUGCGAUAAGUGAUGGAAAUUGCAGAAUACUAUGACUCAUCGAAUCUUUGAAUGCAACCUGCGCCUAGCGGGAUCUCUCUCGCUAGGCGUGCUUGUUUGAGACCGGCUCUUAUAAAAUAUCUCAAUCCCCUUACGUGGGGGACGGAGGAAUAUGAGGGGACUAUUAUGAAAAUUUUUUUGGAUUAAUAACCCCUUUAAGAGCUUUCCCUACUAAAAAAAGAUAGGAGAAAGACCACGGUCGUGAGGGGUAAACCUUUACAGCCUGUCGGAACUUACCUUUCUUUCAAAAAAAAGGGAUAAAUGGAGUGAGGAUUUUUUUCCUCCACUCGAUUUCAUACUACCCGGCUCAAAUCAAGCACGGCUACCCGCUGAAUUUAAGCAUAUAAUUAGGCGGAGGAAAAGAAAUUAACAAAGAUUCCCUCAGUAAUGGCGAAUGAACAGGGAAAAGCCCAUCCUGAACCGUGAGGGACUAGUCUUCUUUACGGGGUGUAGGGUUUCGACUAGCUUAAGCGGGGAUUCUCCCUAGCUGAACUCGCCUGGAAAGGCGGACCAUAGAGGGUGACAGUCCCGUAGGCAUUUUAGGGAGAGCUCACGUUAGCUGGAUCGUAGAGUCGAGUUGCUUGGGAGUGCAACUCUAAUUAGGUGAUAAACUUCAUCUAAGGCUAAAUACGAACACUAGACCGAUAGCGAACAAGUACCGCGAGGGAAAGUUGAAAAGAACUCUGGAAAGAGAGUAAAAAGUACCUGAAACCGCAGUGAGGUAAGCGGCCGGCAUCGCAAAUUAGUGCGUGACUCAAAUCUCUCGGGUGUAGGGCUUGUAGGUAUAGAGAGUCCAUGCGUGGGUUCCUAAGCCAGUGAGUUCGAAGCCCGAGUGGUGGCACUUCGCGUACUACGUCACGAUCACUCUUAGGGGGGAGAAAAAGUAUGGGGACAGGUAGCUAACCUCGUGUUAGUGAAGGCCUUGUAUUUCGCUCCCUCUCAGGAGUGAGGACAAUAGAGAAAGGGGUCUUCUUGGUGAAGGAGGAUUACUUCGGUAGUCCCCGUAGCCUGAACCUUUCUCAGAUUGUGGCGUUUUUGUGGCAUCGACCGUCCCGUCUUGAAACACGGACCAAGGAGUGCAAAUUAUGUGCGAGUCUUAGGGUGUUUAAACCCAAGGGCGUAAUGAAAGUGAAGCAUCUGAACCUGAGGCAAACGAAGGUGCAAGGUGUGCCGGCAGCCUUUUACGAAGGGUUGUCCGAGUAAGAGCAUAUAUUUUGCGACCCGAAAGGUGGCGAACUAUGCCUGUGUAGGACGAAGCCAGAAGAAAUUCUGGUGGAGGUCCGUAGCGUUGUUGACGUGCAAAUCACUCGUCAAACAUGGGUAUAGCGGCGAAAGACCAAUCGAGCCGCCUAGUAGCUGGUUCCUCU